GAUGACAGCGCCUCUUCCACUCCCCCCCCCCAAGAUGGCGCCCCAAGCAGCCUGCCCGGCCACAGCGUUUCCGGUUCCGGCCGGGUUGCCAUGGCGCUCUGUCCCGCCCCUCGCUCUGUGUUUACAUCGGGCAGGAGGAGCCGGGGACUCCGCAGCGGUCGCGUCCCGCUCCGUGCGCUGCUGCGCUCCAUCGGCCCCGAGCUGCGGGAGGGCAAGAGCGCGCCGGCAUGAAGGGUCCCAGCUUGGAAACGCAGAUGGUGGAAGAUGAAGCUGAGACAACCAGUGAAGAACUGCCCCCUCAUCUGCGGGAGGAGCCUCCUGAAGCAAAACGUGACCCUUCCCAAAGGAAAAGAAGAUGGAGAAAGAACCUUUCUAGCAAUUGGGCAAUGCUGUCAUUCUUGAUUCAAAGUGUGUUGGGGAAAGGAGCCGUACUGACAGUGCUGGUGCUGGAGUCUGGAAUCUCUUCCAAUCCACAGUCCAGGUUCAUCUUCACCAGCUCUACUUGCCAAUGUGCCUCAGACCUGACAUGGAGAGAAAAGAAAGUAGCUGGCUCUCUUGCCUAUUCACUCUUUGGCCUCUCUGCUGAGGAUAGUUAUGAAUUGUUGCCAGUAUUCUUCUGUGCUGCAAAACCAUAGUUGCUUCCUGUUGCUUUUCAUAGAUUUUAAGCCAGAAGGAACCAUUAUGAUCCUUUAGUCUGACCUUCUGUAUAACACAGACUAUAAGAACCCUUUUCUCCAGUUUAACACCUUGUUCUUUUUUUCCCUUAUUUUGCCAGCCCUUGUUUU
rnacentral:lncRNA from 1 species